rnacentral:lncRNA from 1 species
AACUACUCACUACCAGAAUUGACCUCCUUCUUGACCAACCCUAUCUCUGUUUCUUGCCUACCUACCUAGUGCUGUUUCCUUCCAUUAAUAGCACUCUCACUAUAUAGCUGAGUAAGCCCAAGCCUUAUUCUCUAUGCCUAUGUCCAAGCCUUGCUCUUUUCCUUGUGGUUGAGUCAGCCUUUCCUGUCAGUAAGUGUCUUCACUAUGCUUUUCAUUCUGCAAUUGCUUAUUUCGGUAUUGUAUAUAAUAUUCUCUUAAUGUUGAUUAGGGAAAUUGGGUCUCAAAAAGGCGAGUGGUUUUCUAUUCCAUUGAGAACUGUUGUUUCGGGUGUUAAGUAAACAUCACUCUAGGAAUUAAAGACAGAAGCCGGGAUCCCACUAGUGUUUCUAAAGCUUUAACCCACUAGCAAGACUCCACGAUAUGCAGGCUUAACCACCGUGGCUCGGGUAGCUAACAGUGUGGAUGUAUGCUCUUGACUCUUUAGGUCAAGCUAUUCCUUUAGUUUGUUUAGAUACAACUGCUUAGAUUCGUAGGUUAGCUUAGUAUAUGCUUUAUUGUAGCUCUACCAUUGAAAAACCACUUCUCUGACUUGAAUUCAGUAGUUCGUUUUUUGUCUUGUAGCUACUAUCGAUAUGCUAUGUAAGUGAUAGAAGUGAUGCUAUUAAUUGGAAUUCCUUGCUAAGCACUCAGUGCGCUCAGGGCUUGUUAGACUCUUCGCAAUCGAGGCAGCUAUUACGGAAGAAGAUUUAGGGGUACCCAGGAGACAAAGAGUACUCUGUGCCGGCUUAGACCUGCAACUACUGCUUAUCCUUUGCUUGUGGUAGCUGUCCUCGUAUAAACACCGCUUCGUUCCUAACGAAGCCAUUACCUGUAACCACAUCAUCGAACCUCCUGUACCACAAGAAAGAGGGAGACUUAUUUGCCCAUACUAGCAAGGAUUUCUCCAAUCGACAAACCAACCUUGUUCUAUGAUCCUGCUAUGACCAUGAGGCUACUCUAUAUGGAUCUCCUCAAAUCAAUAUCCUGGAGCGGAAAGCAGUGCUGUCUUCACUCCGGUUUUGCUCUAAAUCAAGUGAUGCUGCUAGUUAGAUCAGAACCUUAAUAGUUUUUAGCUUCACUCAAGUGGUAGGGUCUCAGGAUGACUCGAGUGGACCUCCUAAGAGGCUCUGGCUCCUUAACAGUGGGAAACAAAAGACCCUUUAUUCGUACAGAGCUAGCAUAGGUUUUAUGCACAGGACAGAGCUAGCAUAGGUUUUAUGCACAGGGUUACAGGAGUAGCGAAAGACUGAGCUCGCUCAUGCUCUCAUGCUUCACACAAGCCCAGUAUAGAAAGCUUUUAUUUCCAACCAUAUCAUAUGUAUUCUCCGAUCAAAGAACUAAACAACAGGGAAGGCUUUCCAAGAUUGCUUCCAAGGCGAGGGCUCGGCACAAUUAACUAGUUUCUCGACUUACUUAAGAACUAACCUUACUUAAGAACUAACAAGCGUUCGCAUCGAUGCCCUAGCUUCGUGUGGAGGGCACAAGACAAGGUAAAGACUUCUUCUCUUGUUAGACGUAAUGUAAUAUUAAUUCAGAGUCGCCAGGCGGGCCUCAGGCUUCAACCCCAUUGAUAUAAAUAAAACAACUCCUCCCUUUUAGACUAUGGAUCUAGCUCCCAACGACGCUCCCCCGAAGAGGUUUCUUUCGAGUAAGCUUGUUGCAUCAAGGCAUGUUUUGACAUUUCGAAAAAGUCACAAGCUUCGUAUAAAGCUUUUAGGAGGUUCAAUUCUGUUAAGGUAGCAUGGAUAACUCAUCUGCUUGUCUGGUGUAAUACUAACUUGUAAAUAAGUGGUGUCAAUAGGAUACAAAUGGAUAAGCGCACGGUAAUGAGGUGGGCAAAGCAAUCCUGAAUGAGCGCACGGACGUACCAUAGCAUUAGGCGGUCAGUCAAUCUAUAUAAAUAGCCAAAUAUCAUUCAUUUCCUAUCCCUUUUUCCAAAGUGUCUUUCCAUUUCAUUAUCUGUUUCCGUAUACUUUUCCUCCACUGAUGAAUUAGCCCUUGCCUUGCCCUAGCUUCCAGAAAAAUAAGUAAACAGCAUCGCGAACUUUGGAUAUUCUGCCUUAAUCAAAUCCAACUCCAUUGAAGGGGAACGAACGCACAUACUAAACCCAUGAAAGCUUGAAACUAGUUGUAUUAUAUUUCCAGAAAAGCUUUCAAGUGAAAGGGCCCGAUGGCUUUCGAUUCUUUUUUGAUAUCUAUAGCCAAAAGAGACCGAAAAUGAGUGAUUUGAAACUGAUUACUUACAUACUGGUGAAACUCUACUGGUGUUUAUGCACAAUAAAUCGAAUUCCCGGAAUUCUCUGUAUCUGUAAGGGUGCACUGGGACUAGAUCCCUUCCUAACUGAACCACUCUCCCAAAAGAAGGGAUUCAAGUGGGGACUGCAAACAAAGGAAACUCGAAAAGGCUCUAGGAACUUCCAUUCAAUGGACCUAGCAAUAGCUGCCAGCAUAGGCUUGUGUUUUUCUUAAAGGAGAUCCGGCUGUAACAGACUCAACGAUGGAAUUAUCCCUUGGAAAGGCAGAGGAGAAUUCGAAAGCUUGAUCACUCGCUUGCGAACUUACUGCAUAAAGGAAUUAACAAGGAGCAACUAACCUUUCUGCGUUAUAACAUUAGGAACCUUACGCCCAUAUGAAAGAAAGCAGCCAAAACUGUAUAUAAGAUCAGAUGAAAGAAAGCAGCCAAAACUGUAUAUAAGAUCAGAGACGGGUUUAGCGAGAAAAGUCCUUAGCUCACACCUAUCUUUGAUCAAAUAAGCAAAAAAGCCAGCGAGUUUAGGUAUAAAGAACAGCCAGUGUCAGAGAGAUUACUUAUGUUUCACUCUUCCUUAUACAUGAAGGGAAUGAAUGCCUUAAUUGAAUGGAAUUCGGGAUCAAAGUGGAUUAGGUGAAGUUAAGGCAAGCAUGAGUUCAACCCUUUUCUCAUCUGGCCAGGAUCGAUAGCCGUUCGACCUGAGUGAAGUGCGGUCAGAUUCCGUAUCCCCAAUUUCUUGGUCUUUCUCAUACUCUAUUAGUUGUCAUAGUUGUCAGAUCAAUUCCCAUGCAUUCUUUAAUGGAAUCGGAAACGGGCAGAGCAGCGGCUAUCCGGAAUGGGGCCUAUGCCUCAACGACUAUCUAUGAAUGACCAGGAUCGGAAUGCCAAUCGACGGGAUGCGCCUACGACAGAUUGAAAGUUCCUACUAUGAUUACAGGCAUCCUCACUUACGCAACGAAAUGACGAAUCCACCGAUCAUAAUAGGAAAGUGAAAGGUUAGCCUCAUACCUUUUAUUGCGAGGUGAAACACUCACCAGGAUACAUGAUCCUAGGCGAAAACAUGAAAGAUGAGCCAAUCAUAUCAUAAGCGGCACCAUCAUUUCCUCCAUAACGCGAGAAACCAACAACUAAUGUUUCAAUGAAUAAACAGCUGAUGGACCACAUAGUUUCUUCUUACCAGCGGAACAGAAGGCUCUUCAAGAUAUUUCCCAAGCAUACCCUUUUAACCAAAGGAAAGGGAUGAGCCGGAAAUCAUAAACAUACCUUUCCAUCAACCCUACUUUUCUCUGGAAAUGACAUUGGCAUAUGCCUCUGUCCUCUGAGCCUUCUCGGAUCGGUAAAGAAAAAGCUGCUUUGUUAGAGUAUUAGGUAGGCACCCACUUUAGGCGCCAAGAUAAUGAGUUUGUUAACACCCAAUAAGUCAAAGUCAAACAGGUUGGAUUACUUUAGUGUCAAAAGGUUUCUCCCGGGGAUUAUAGACUAGACCUAUAUGCUCUGGCUAAGGCUCUAGGUCCACUGAUCAUUAGGUUAAGUCCCUGGUGAUCGAACCAUUACUAUAAGGUUAACUCUGUCCCUCUUUCUUACGAUACAGUUUAGUCCGUCCCUUUACACCAUUAUCAAGUUUGAGUCUUUACAAAGUGCUUCUCUUCUCGGGCUCGGGAAAGCUAUUCAGGCAAGUUCAUUUGCAAGCCUUUAGCCGAAUAAAGCUAUCAGCAAAACUGGCACCUCACCUUUUGUCUGGCCCAAAAGCAAGGAAC